CUUAUAUAUUCUAUCAUCGAGACAAUUGAUCCAAAUGGAUUUGUCUGAAAUGGGUGCAUCUGCAUAUCUCUACUGAUAUACUUGCAGAUGGUGCCUUACCAUGCAAAUAAGGUUUGUGUAUACGACCUGCUUUCAGCACAGCCACUACAAAUACAAGGAAUUGGCCUGUACAGUAUGUGCUCAUAUUAUAUCCAGGCCUGGAAUAACCUUCCAGGGGGCCUUGGGGCCUUGGGGCAAAGAUUUGCCACUGGGCCCCUAUUAACACUCCCAGCUCGUAAUACAUUGGGCACACUUUUCUUUGCUGGAGUACUCCUAGGCCACGGGUUUACUCUGUGGUAGUUAAACACAAAUUAAUUUACAAAUAUUUAACAGAAAACUGAAACUACGUUUUUGACACAAGAUUCCACGUCAACCCUAAAUGUGUCAGUUGAUACUGUACUUUAGUGAUGCGUAUUCCUAAACACAUUUUCAACUGACGCCAUAAUUAUGUUAUUGGCUUAUUGUACAUAUGUGGACAUGCCCGGGAUCAUUUUUGCAGACCUCAUACUGCCCGUGUGUUUACGUGCGUGUUUGUUUACAUAAGACUGUCGCACAUUUGAGCCGGCCUGACGUCAGAAUGCCCAGCAGGGCUCCCGUCCUGCCGCACGGCUCCGAAUGGACACACGCGCUGCUUCUGGCUUGUCAUCUGCUCGCUGUGUGGAGUUUCACCGUGGGCGGGGCUCAGGCAGCUUCACCACACACACUGUGCAAACUUGGCUAGAUUUAGUGACUUUUCAGACCAUCACAAAGGCGAGAAAUAUAUUCAAAUACAUUGCGCUGUAAUUCAUCCGCAUGCGUGCUGCUCAGAGUGAUCACAAUCCUCGGCUCUUCUGCCAGCCGCGGCUCGCGCCUCUCCCCUUGCUCCGCGUGCAGACAGUGAACAGGCGGUGUGUGCGGCAGCCUGAAGCGGCAGCCUGGAGCGGCAGCCUGGAGCGGCAGGCUGGAGCGGCAGGCUGGAGCGGCAGCUGGAGCGGCAGGCUGAAGCGGCAGGCUGGAGCGGCAGGCUGGAGCGGCUGCUGGAACACGACGCUUCCGCUGGGAUCAAUGAGCUGACCACCAGGCGUGACAGCAGCGCGUCAGGCGUGCGGAGAUCCGCUCUGAAGCGUAAACAUACACCAGUCUUCUAUUUGUAUUUUUUACGUGAGGUGUGCAGACUGAAUGACAGGGAAAUGAGACAAGUAAAUAAAAAUAAAAAAGCUGAGUGAUCAGAGCGUAUUGACCUAACGUUAACUCCCUGGAAACUCAGAUAAGACAUGUUGCCAUGGAGAUGGCAGGUCUGUGGAUCAGAAUACAUUGCCAAAUUCAUCAGUUACCAAGAUAAACUCGUUGGUUACCAAACUAGGGAUAAACAAUGGAUGAAAAAAAGAUGAUUAUUGAAGUAGAGAAAUUUAAAUUGUUAUGACCCAAGUGACACCCACUACAAGGCCAACCUGAGAAGAGAUGCAGCAGGGAGAAAGAUUUCAUUAGCAGCUGGAGCCUCAGGUAAGUGAUCAUUUCAAUAGGCUACAUUCUAUGUUAGCUAGCUAUUUUAACAUGUUUAUAACUGCAUUGCCUACACCUGAAUGCUACUGCAAUAUACAGUAGGCAGUAGUUUUAUAUUUCUGGCUAUUUAUUAGUUUAUGUAUUGAUCAUAAUCUGAUAUAUCAUCAUGUCGCUAAAUGAGCUCUUAUACAGUAUGUAGGCCUACUUUAUAAUGCCUUGGAUUUUAUACCGUCUUUAUUUGUGGGAAGUGUGGAGGAUGUGUAAAUACAAAGGGAAAAUGUGCAGCGCUAGGCCUGUAGAUGUUGCAGCAGACAUAGCUAAAGCAUGUCUAGAGGAAUUUUAAAUAGCCUACUGUAAAAUGUAAACAUUAAUACCAGCGGUGGAAGAAGUAUUCAAAUUUUUGACUUGAGUAAAGAUAGCAAUGCUGCAGUGUAGAAAUACUCUUUUACAAGUAAAGGUUCUGCAUUCAAAUGUUACUUAAGUAUUCAAGUUUUAGGAUCAAAAUAUACUUACGUAAAGUGCCAAAAGUAAAAGUACUCAUUAUGCUGAUGUAUAUUACAGUAUUGGAUUAUAAUUAUUGAUUAAUUCAUGUUAACAUCACUUUAAUGUUGCAGCUGGUAAAGGUGGAGUUUUAUUUUAAUUUCUUUAAAUACGACUGGGUCUUUAUCAGGGAUUAAUAAAGUCUUAUCUUAACCUAUAAAUAAUACAUCAUUAUUUAAUUGUUGAUUAGAUUUUGUAGUAUUAAUAUAACUCUGCAAACUAGUUAUCAAAUACAUAUAGUGGAGUAAAAAGUACAAUUUUUGCUUCUGAAUUGUAGUGGAGUAGAAGUAUAAAAUAACAAACUAUACAUACUCAAGUAAAGUACAAGUACCUCAAAACUCAUGACUUGAGUGAAUGUACUUAGUUACUUUUAAGUACUGAUUAAUACUAAAUAAUGUUGUACUUUAAGAAUUGUUAAUCCAGUAGCUUUGGCUAGAAUUGUUAUUCAGACCCACUGUAACUGGAUAACUCACUGAUAAGUAGCUCUUGACAAGUAAAAGCAACAGAGUUGAAAUGAAAAGAACCUUGUCUUAAACCUUGGAUUAAAAUGUUCUUCUUCUUAUUUUUUGAUAUAAUUAUCAAAGCAAACAACAAUAACAAAUAAACAAAUAAUAACAUUAUUAACAUUAAAUAAACUAUUCAGAGUUUCUUAUGGCAGUCUUAAAUAAGAGGGUGCUGACAGCGGUCAGCACUGACAUUUCAACAUUGACAAAUACAUAUUUGUUAUAAAUUCAUCAUACAUUCAUCAUUUGGCCUAUGUCUUAUGCUGUGCCAUGCGCUAGCCCAAUUUAGCCACUGAAAUUGUCGAAUUGGCCUUUUGGUUUAGGAGAUCAUUCUGUCCUGCCACGAGACGCUUCCUUCAGGGGAGUUGAAGCAUUGGCAGAGCAACUCCCGUACAUCAAAUGCCUCCCUGGAUCUUCAGUUUGCCAUAGACGGCUCCACUGCAGUUUGGGAAAUUCCACUUUUGCCAAAAAACAUGCUGCAAUCUCUCUCCAUGCAUCCUCUGUUGGCUUUAGGAUGUAGGUCUCCAUCAUUAGCCUCAUGACUGUUCUGCAAGUCAUGUAGACUGAGGCUGCCACAGUUUACCUUCCUCGUCGGUAUGCCAGGCUUCUGAAGGACUUUCCAGUAACUAGGAACCGCUGUGGACUGCCAAAAUCAGUGAAAAUAUUUAAGAGAUCAGUUGGUGAAGAACAAAAUAACAAAACCCAAGAGGGGAUCAGCAGGAGGAUCCCAAAGGGAGUGGAAACACACUCAAGUUAUGUCAUUUCUGCUAUCCCAUGUACAGCCAAGAAGCUCAAGAAGCAGCCUGGAUAAUGUGUGCCACAGAUGACUCCUGGGAAGCUAUCGAUUUGAGCGGUGGGAUGGACUCAGAGGAUGUUGGUGAGGGAACUUCUCAUACAUGUCGGCCCAUAACUGUCCCUCGCCCUUUACAAGAGGACAUUCAAGAGCAAGAAUCCCGAGCUGAAACCUCCUGCAGUGGGGGGCAAAGCCUGCCAAGAGAUUCAAGGUCCAGGAUCCUCUGGCGCAACCACAUGUGCCACAAGAAGAGGAUGAAAUGUAUUACUUUGCCAGCAGCCAUACCACCACACCCAAGGCUUUCAGCCCAUACAUCAAGCCCCAUCCAUUCCAACGCAAAGGUCUCAAUACAUGAACAGAGCAAGAAGUCAGGAGGCUUGGGAGGAAAAUGGCGAGAGCACUGCUUCUCACUUCACUGACCUGGAGAACAGGCUACUUUGGAUGCAUAGUAUUACCUUUUGUUAAGGCUAAUAGCAACUUUUUGUCUUUUGCCCCACUACUGGUGGUACAUUAAUUGUCUGGUUUUACUUUUUAAAGGUAAUUGAUGUUUGAUGUAAUGGCUACUUUGGUUAUAUUUAUUGUAAGCUAUACUAUAGGCUACUAUACUAUACUGUAUAUAUGAUUUAAUUAAUUAAUUGUUCAAAAUAUUUUUAAUUAUAAGUAUAGCUAUUAAAUAAACUAUACUUAAAUAGUUAAUUAAUUGCCCCAGCUGAUGUUUAAUGAAAUAAUAAAAAAAAAGGAAUUAUCCUGUUCAUAUAACUGAAACUGAGUGUAUACUUUACUGGAUCUGAAAUUUACUGUAUAUUUAUACUGUAGGUAUAGUGCAGUUAUUUUGUAUGCCAAAUAUAAGAUCCACUUUAUCUGAAAUCCCUAUGACAUUUUAUAGGCCUAAACUAUAAACAUUAUAAAAGCAAGUGAAAUAAAACAGUUACCGCAGUGCUACAGCAAGCGGUUGUUUAGGUUCAAUGGAUUCCCUGAAGUUUGGAUUUUGCCUCUGAAGUUCAGUGCCUGCGAUGGAGAGGACAUGGUCAGUUUGCUGUGGAGUCAUCUUGAAGUAUCUGCGGUGAAGCUCGCCUUCAAACUGCAGCUCUGCAACCAGCUGAUUAAAAAGCACCUUGUUGCUUUUUAAUCAGCUGCGUUGGUUGAUGUGCUGCACCCAAAUUCGCCUCCUCCUCUCCUGUCGGGAUUGUUGCUCCAGUCUCUUUAGUAGGAGAAGCAGGGCUCCUAUUUACAGCAGGCGCCGUAAAAAUGUAUAUAGAAAAAAAUGUGUUGGCUACACAAAAUAUGAAGUUCAAUUUCAAUUUUAUUUAUAUAGCGCCAAUUCAUAACAGAAGUUAUCUCAUUGCACUUUUCCUGCAGGGCAGGUCUAGACCGUACUCUUUAUAAUAUUAAUUACAGAGACCCAACAAAUCCCACCAUGAGCAAGCACUUGGCGACAGCGGCAAGAAGAGAAAGUUAGGUAGCUGAACGAUUCAACUGACGGUUGAUACUGGUAGAUGGACUGUACUUGUAAAGCACCUUUUCUAGUCUUUCCGACCACUCAAAGCGCUUCACACUACAUAUCACAUUCACCCCAUUCACACACUGAUGGCAGGUGCCAACUGCUCAUCAGUUCAAAGAAG